AGAGACAGCAGCCGCCGCGGUAAUGCGUAGGGUGCGAGCGUUAAUCGGAAUUACUGGGGGUAAAGCGUGCGCAGGCGGUUAUAUAAGACAGAUGUGAAAUCCCCGGGCUCAACCUGGGACCUGCAUUUGUGACUGUAUAGCUAGAGUACGGUAGAGGGGGAUGGAAUUCCGCGUGUAGCAGUGAAAUGCGUAGAUAUGCGGAGGAACACCGAUGGCGAAGGCAAUCCCCUGGACCUGUACUGACGCUCAUGCGCGAAAGCGUGGGGAGCAAACAGGAUUAGAUACCCCCGUAGUCCCUGUCUCUUAUAC
rnacentral:rRNA from 1 species